rnacentral:piRNA from 1 species
UCCUUGGAGGACAUUUUUGAUGUUGUGCUA